rnacentral:rRNA from 1 species
GACGAACGCUGGCGGCGUGCUUAACACAUGCAAGUCGAACGGAAAGGCCCUGCUUUUGUGGGGUGCUCGAGUGGCGAACGGGUGAGUAACACGUGAGUAACCUGCCCUUGACUUUGGGAUAACUUCAGGAAACUGGGGCUAAUACCGGAUAGGAGCUCCUGCUGCAUGGUGGGGGUUGGAAAGUUUCGGCGGUUGGGGAUGGACUCGCGGCUUAUCAGCUUGUUGGUGGGGUAGUGGCUUACCAAGGCUUUGACGGGUAGCCGGCCUGGGAGGGUGACCGGCCACAUUGGGACUGAGAUACGGCCCAGACUCCUACGGGAGGCAGCAGUGGGGAAUAUGGCACAAUGGGCGGAAGCCUGAUGCAGCAACGCCGCGUGCGGGAUGACGGCCUUCGGGUUGUGAACCGCUUUCGCCUGUGACGAAGCGUGAGUGACGGUAAUGGGUAAAGAAGCACCGGCUAACUACGUG